UUAUCUCUGUAGAGUCUGCAUAUCAAUAAGCGGAGGAAAAGAAACUAACAAGGAUUCCCUUAGUAACGGCGAGUGAAGCGGGAAGAGCUCAAAUUUGAAAUCUUCAAGGUUCUACCUUGACGAAUUGUAGUUUAAAGAAGUGUUUUCUGUUAGAUGAGUAGCAAAAGUUCCUUGGAAUGGGACAUCAUAGAGGGUGAGAAUCCCGUAUUUGGUUAUUCAUUCUAGCUUUGUGAUACACUUUCAAAGAGUCGGAUUGUUUGGGAAUGCAGUCCAAAAUGGGUGGUAAAUUUCAUCUAAAGCUAAAUAUUGGCGAGAGACCGAUAGCGAACAAGUACCGUGAGGGAAAGAUGAAAAGAACUUUGAAAAGAGAGUUAAACAGUACGUGAAAUUGUCAAAAGGGAAGCGUUUGACACCAGUGUUGUUUUCUCGAAAAUCAAUUAAGAAUGGCUUGAUUUUGUGUUGUAUUGACCUUAUAAGCUUUCUGCACUUUUUUGCAUGUCUUUCUUAAUGCACUUUUCGGUUAACAAGUCAACAUCAAUUUCUUUUGUUGUAAAAGAGUCAUUGGAAGGUGGCUUUCUUUUCGGAGAAAGUGUUUAUAGCCUUAUACUUCUACAAUCGGAGAGACUGAGGUCUGCAGCGUAGAUCCUUCGGGAUUAGAUUCAGUUAGAUGCUAAGUUACUACCGUUUUAUAGACAACUUGUUGACUAUAAUUCGAUCCUGUAGCUUACUCGCUUAUGGUAUUUUACCUACGCUUAGGAUGUUGAAGAUGUAGCACAUCAU
rnacentral:rRNA from 1 species